rnacentral:rRNA from 1 species
GACGAACGCUGGCGGCGUGCUUAACACAUGCCAGUCGAACGGAAAGGCCCUGCUUUUGUGGGGUGCUCGAGUGGCGAACGGGUGAGUAACACGCGAGUAACCUGCCCUUGACUUUGGGAUAACUUCAGGAAACUGGGGCUAAUACCGGAUAGGAGCUCCUGCUGCAUGGUGGGGGUUGGAAAGUUUCGGCGGUUGGGGAUGGACUCGCGGCUUAUCAGCUUGUUGGUGGGGUAGUGGCUUACCAAGGCUUUGACGGGUAGCCGGCCUGAGAGGGUGACCGGCCACAUUGGGACUGAGAUACGGCCCAGACUCCUACGGGAGGCAGCAGUGGGGAAUAUUGCACAAUGGGCGGAAGCCUGAUGCAGCAACGCCGCGUGCGGGAUGACGGCCUUCGGGUUGUAAACCGCUUUCGCCUGUGACGAAGCGUGAGUGACGGUAAUGGGUAAAGAAGCACCGGCUAACUACGUG